AACAGAGGAAUGUGUUAACUUCAUAGCAAUUCAAUGAGCAGAGUUCAAAAGUGCGAAACUUUACAAGACAAAUAACUUUGCUUCUCCAAAAAUUGAAUUGCAAGGAAAGAAAGUGGAGAGGGAGAAACUGACAGAGUAAAAGGAAUUUAAGACUCAUAUCAUCAGCCUAGAGCGGUGGCUCAUACCUAUUAAUAAAAUCCCCCAGCACUUUGAGAGGGCAAGGCGGGAGAAUCGCUUUAACCCAGGAAUUCAAGACCAAUUUAGGCAAAUAAGAGAGACCGUCUUUACAAAAAACUACAUAUAUAUAUAAAAUUUAUAUAUAUAAAAUAUAAAAUGUAUAUACUAUAUAAUUAUAUAUUAAAAUUAUAUAUUAUAUAUAAAUUAUGUUAUAUAUAAAUUUUAAUUAUAUAUAUAUAUAUAUAAAAGCUGGGUGUGUUGGCACAUGCCUCUGGUCCCAGAUACUUGGGAGAUUGAGGUGGGAGGAUUACUUGGGCCAGUGCAUGAUCACACCACUGCACUACAGCCUCAUUGACAGAGCAAGACCCUGUCUCGAAAAAAGCCAGCCAGAUAUGAGGGCGAUCUGACUGUGACAUCUGUCACUCUAUUGAUCGCCAGGGUUGAUUCGGCUGAUCUGGCUAGCUAGGCAGGAGUCCCCUUCCUCCCUCACCACUCCAUGUGCUUCCCUCUUGAAGCUGUGCACACUCAGUGGAAGAGGACAGCCAUCCCCAAUAGAGGAAGGCCAGUCUGCAGUCAAGGGUAUACAAGUAGCUGCAUUCCCCUACUAGAACCUCCAAACAAGCUCUCAAGGUUCAUUUGUAAGAGAACGUAGGGUUCUUUGAAGUCAAGCUUCCAAGACUCCAGACACAUCCAAGUGAGUUGCUGCAUGUGGCAGUCUGCCUUUCUUUAAAACAAACAAACAAAACCACCAAACUUCAGGUAAUAAGGCAGGUAAUGUUUUACAUAAUGCAUCUCAGUAUAAAACAUGCAACAAUUGAAUUAUUUACAUAGCCCAGCAGAAGCGAUUCAAUAGUCUGCCCUGAUGUGGACUGUAAGAAUGAUUAGAAAAGAAGUUAAGCCUGAGAAAGGUUUGAAAGAGAGUAAUAGUUUUGCUAAGUGGACAAGAGUGGAAAGGACAUUCCAGGCAGAGCAGCAUGUGUAAGAUAUACAGAAGGAAGGCAGUGAGACAGCAUGGGCUGUUCAGGGAAAUCAAAGCAGUCUGCUUUCAGGAGAAUAAAGUAAAAAAAGCCUGUGUCCAGAAAUAAGACAGGAGAACCAGGUAUCAUCAUAAGGGCCUCAUAUCCCAGUACUUUUCUCUCAGCUUUCUUUUCUGAUGUUAAUUCUAGUAAGUUCUGUGAGGGUGUACACGGUCAGGCUCUAAGAGGCCCCCAGUGAUCCCUGCAUUCUGGUAUUCACACCCUUGUGUAAUCCUCUCCCAAAAUGCACCAGGGUUGGUCUGGUCUGUGUGCCUAAUAGCGAUGCUAGGAACUCUGGUGGGGAAUGUUGAUAAUGGGUGAGGCUAUGCAUUUGUAGAGAAAAAGGGUAUAUGGGAAAUCUCUGUAAACAUCCACUGAAUUUUGUUGUGAACCUAAAACUGCUCUAAAAAAUAAACUCUAUUAAAAAGUAUAGGGGGGUGGUAUGUCACUUCCAAAAUUAGGCUUAAAAAGAAUCUAGCUUUUGUCUUGAGUGUUUUUCUCUCAUCUUUCACACUCUGGGAAAUGCAAAUACAUAAAAGAAUAUAAGAAACCCAUGAACCUCCAUAUACCAACCAUCCAGCUUCAAAAAUUAACAGAUUUUGUAAAUUUUGUUUUAUCUGUCUCCUCCCACUCUUACUUCUCCUCUCCAUCACCACUGAAGUAUUUUAAAGCAGAUCCCAGCCAUCACCUUAAAGUCAUGCACUUCAUUCAUAACAACGUUUUGGUCAUUGACAGACCACAUAUAUGACAGUGGUCUCAUAAGAUUAUAAUACUGUGUUUUUACAGUGCCUUUUCUAUGUUUAGAUAUGUUUAGAUACACAAAUCCUUACCAUUGUGUUGCCUACAGUAUUCAGUACAGUAAGUAAUACAUUGUACAAGUUUGUAGCCUAGGAGCAACAGGCUAUCCCAUAUAGCCUAGGUAUAUGGUAGGCUAUACCAUCUAGAUUUAUGUAAGUACACUCCGUGAUGUUUAUACAAAGAUGAAAUCACCUAAAGACAUAUUUCUCAGAACAUACCCCUGUCGUUAAGUGAUGCAUGACUGUAUUUCACCCACAUUUGAGUAUUUAACAGAUAAGGUCUAACUAUAACAACAUUAUCACACUUGAUAAAAUAAACAUUCCUUAAUAUCAUCUAAUACCCAAUCAAUGUUAAAAUUCCCCUAGUUACCACUUAAUUUGUUUACUAUUAUACUUUGAAGUUUUCUUUUUUUCCUGUCCCUUCUUUUGCUCACUUGGUCAAAUUUCUAUUUCGUUCCUUUGCCCUUUAAUUUUAGAAAUUCUUCUAUAGUUUCUAUUCUAUUUGGUGUGUGUAUCUGCACUGCAACAGAUAUAGUUAAACGUAUUUCUCUACGAAGAUACUCACAUUAAGAGGCUGUUAUCCAUCCUGGCUACCACGGUGAAACCCCGUCUCUACUAAAAAUACAAAAAAAAAAAAU
rnacentral:lncRNA from 1 species